AGUAGAGCAACUUGAUUGAAAAUCUGCCAGAUGGAGAGGCACCUCAAACUAGGGAGUCCGAGAAUACUAGGAAAGGGUAAAUAUUUUAAAGGCGCAUCAAGAACCUAGUAAGGUCCUCAACUUCCUCAUCUGUCAGGUCCCUACGUCAUGGGGGACACCUAGCUCCUCUACCCUCAUCAGUUGAGAAGCAAACAAUCAUAAUAAUAUUCUUCACGGAAGAUGAUCUUGCAAGAGACGGGAAAUCCCGCUCCAAAGAUCUAUCACCACACCACGGAUCCUCUUAAAAACAAAUUCGAGAGCCGUUGCCGAGAGAAAAGGUGAGUUUUUUUUUUUUCUUUUAAAUUAACGCGCGCACACACACACCAAUGGGUACUCGAACCCAUGACCUUGGUGUUGAAGCUUUUGUGAGUCUACCACUAAGUCAUGAAUAGGGACCCGAGAGAAAAGGUGAGGCUAGAUCUGACCAAAGGAGCUACUGAAAUGAUAACCUUCCAUAUUCCCAAGGCAUGAUAAUGUGAUGGCUUCUUGAUCUCCCAACCCUCUUCCAAACUGUACUUGGAUGUGAUAACUUCACUCCAUAGCUUGCCUUUUUCAAUCCUGAAUAUCCAAUGCCGCUUAUCGAGGGGAGCCACAUUCAUAAAUUAAAGGUCUCUUAUACCAACAUCACCCUUAGCUAGAGGCUUGCAUACCUGAUGCGGGCUCACAACCCACGUAGGCCCAUCCAGGCCCACUGUAGGGCCCAAUAAGACGUAGGUCCAUAGCCAUCAUAGAGCCCAGCAUGUGCUGAUUUUUGGGUUGAUUAUUUACUGAUUUCGGGGCCUAAAUUGAGGAUUGUAAUUUACUAUUUUUGGGAGAUAUGGGGGGCUGAUUUGAAGAUGUGAUUGAAGAUACGAAGGGGAUGUAAUUUAUAUGAUUGAAGAUAUGGGCUGGUUUUAGAGAUAUAAAUAAUUACUUUUCAUUUUUUCUUUUUAUUAUUAGGCUUUUACGAUAAGGAAGACUAGAUUGGUUUGAAAUAAAUUAUGAUUGAUUUAAAAUCAAUCUCUUAGUUGGGGGUAUUUUAAUUAAAGAUUCAUUAAGGAUCUAUAAAAGAUGGUGGUGGUGUAGGAGUUAGGGAUUCAAAUAUUUUUCUAAAUGUGAGUUUUCUUAAAGUUUUUGUAAGAGAAGAAGGUUGAUAUCAAUAAAGUUCUCUCCCUCUCUACUCUAUUGUUUUUAUGGGUAUGUUUUUUUUUUUUUUUUUUUUUAUAUAUAUAUAUAUAUAAAAUAAUAAUUUCUUUGCAGUUUGGGUAUCGAUAUCUCAUUGACUUGAUCAUCGAGCUGCACCUACCUCUUCCCACUUGAGCAAGUGGAACUUGUGUUUGCAUUAUCUAUAAUCAUUUUGUAGAUCUUCCCGUUGAUCAUGCUAGUUGUUCAAAAGAUACAGGUCCAUAACCAGUCAUCGAUGUCAUCUUGUUUCAGCAUCGGGAGGCUUUUCCGCAUCACCAAAGCGUCACCUACAUCUAUUUAAUCAUCAUAUACAGGGGCUUCUUGUUACAUUCAGAGGCCUUGUGGUUCAUAUCACACUUAAAACACCAGAAACGGCUGCCAAAGCUAUCUAAUGUAGUUGUAUGCACAACUGGCUUUCCUACAUAAGAAUCUUUAGUUGGUCAAGUAGGGCCUAUGUGGUUGGGCCCCUUGUUGGCACGACUGCUGGUAGAUCUGGUAGAUGAACAACCAGAUUUGUCGCAUGUCAUGCCACCUCGUGCUCCGGCUUGAGAUUAUUGGGACUCAAUCAUCAAAGCUACGUUGUAAGCCUUAGUGACAGUCCACACAGGAUGUUGCUGAAGCUUGUCUCGAAUUGAAGGUAGCAAGCCACCCGUGUAAUGGGCAACAAGUUGCUCAUCCGUCUCAGCGAGGUCGUUGCAUGCGGCCAAUUUGUUGAACUCUUCCAUGUAAAAGUCCAUGAUUUGUUCUCCUUGUCUCAAUGCAUGCUAGUGCUAAUACAAGCUCUGAGUGUAGCAUAAGGUAAAAAUGUUUCUUUCAGCAAUUUCUUCAUCUGUGCCCAAUUGGUGAUUUGCGAUCAAACCUGUGGAUGAUGAGUUCACCGAAUCUGUUUCCAUCAGGGGAGGCUUGUCCUUUUAGCUUUGAUGGACACAUGCUUGACUUGCCGCUCUUGGGAAUGUCAGUGAAGUCAAAGAUAUGCUUGAUUUCCGCCAUGGUAAUUGGGAAUCUCAAGCUUAAUUCUGAGAUCUCACCUCCAAAUCUUUAGGAUGACAGCUUCUAUUAAAAUUCCCGCAGUCCUCCCUUCCAUUCACCUGCAACAGCACUUGGCAAUGGAAGGGAUUUUCAGAUUCCUCCGACGACUCUGGAUCAUUGUUGACAUGAGAGGGAACGGGCUGUUUAGAGCUUGGUAUGGGAGGGGAACAGGCUCUUUCGGGGCUUGUAAAUGGAGGGUCAUGCUGCUGACUCUCCUUUGGUCGAUUUGGUUCAAAAGAAAUAAUCAAACAUUUAGGAAUGAGAGAAACUCGACUUUGAAGGUUCUAGGCUGGGUGUUGCAAUGUAUUUCUGAUUGUGUCUUAAUGUCUGUGUAGGGUUGGGUCAUUGGGUGGGGUUGUACAGUUUUCCUUUUCUUCUUUUUGGUUUUGUUGUUUCAUUUUAUCCUCUUCAACUUUGGCCUUAAUAAAGCUCUUUCAUCUUUAUAUAUAUAAAAAAA